rnacentral:rRNA from 1 species
GAGGUUAAGCGACUAAGCGUACACGGUGGAUGCCUAGGCAGUCAGAGGCGAUGAAGGACGUGCUAAUCUGCGAAAAGCGCCGGUGAGCUGAUAUGAAGCCCUAUCAGCCGGCGAUGUCCGAAUGGGGAAACCCAGUGCAAUCCGUUGCACUAUCAUUCACUGAAUCCAUAGGUGAAUGAGGCGAACCGGGGGAACUGAAACAUCUCAGUACCCCGAGGAAAAGAAAUCAACCGAGAUUCCCCCAGUAGCGGCGAGCGAACGGGGAGCAGCCCAGAGCCAUCAACAAUAUCAGCGCCAGGAGAACGGUCUGGAAAGGCCGGCAGUAAAGGGUGACAGCCCCGUAUCCGAAGGCGCCGGUGUUGCGAGCUCGAAGAGUAGGGCGGGACACGUGGUAUCCUGUCUGAACAUGGGGGGACCAUCCUCCAAGGCUAAAUACUCCUGACUGACCGAUAGUGAACCAGUACCGUGAGGGAAAGGCGAAAAGAACCCCGGCGAGGGGAGUGAAAGAGAACCUGAAACCGUGUACGUACAAGCAGUGGGAGCACCCUUUGGGGUGUGACUGCGUACCUUUUGUAUAAUGGGUCAGCGACUUAUAUUCUGUAGCAAGGUUAACCGUUUAGGGGAGCCGCAGGGAAACCGAGUCUUAACUGGGCGCUCAGUUGCAGGGUAUAGACCCGAAACCCGGUGAGCUAGCCAUGGGCAGGUUGAAGGUUGGGUAACACUAACUGGAGGACCGAACCGACUAAUGUUGAAAAAUUAGCGGAUGACUUGUGGCUGGGGGUGAAAGGCCAAUCAAACCGGGAGAUAGCUGGUUCUCCCCGAAAGCUAUUUAGGUAGCGCCUCGUGAAUUCAUCUCCGGGGGUAGAGCACUGUUUCGGCUAGGGGGUCAUCCCGACUUACCAACCCGAUGCAAACUGCGAAUACCGGAGAAUGUUAUCACGGGAGACACACGGCGGGUGCUAACGUCCGUCGUGGAGAGGGAAACAACCCAGACCGCCAGCUAAGGUCCCCAAGUCAUGGUUAAGUGGGAAACGAAGUGGGAAGGCUCAGACAGCCAGGAUGUUGGCUUAGAAGCAGCCAUCAUUUAAAGAAAGCGUAAUAGCUCACUGGUCGAGUCGGCCUGCGCGGAAGAUGUAACGGGGCUAAACCAUGCACCGAAGCUGCGGCAGCGAUAUGAAUAUAUUGCUGGGUAGGGGAGCGUUCUGUAAGCCGGUGAAGGCGGGUCGUGAGGCCUGCUGGAGGUAUCAGAAGUGCGAAUGCUGACAUAAGUAACGAUAAAGCGGGUGAAAAACCCGCUCGCCGGAAGACCAAGGGUUCCUGUCCAACGUUAAUCGGGGCAGGGUGAGUCGACCCCUAAGGCGAGGCCGAAAGGCGUAGUCGAUGGGAAACAGGUUAAUAGUCCUGUACUCGGUGUUACUGCGAAGGGGGGACGGAGAAGGCUAGGCCGGCCGGGCGACGGUAUGUCCCGGUUGAAGCGUGUAGGUGGGGUGACCUGGCAAAUCCGGUCAUCCAUAACACUGAGGCGUGAUAACGAGCCACUACGGUGGUGAAGUGGUUGAUGCCCUGCUUCCAGGAAAAGCCUCUAAGCAUCAGGUAACAUUGAAUCGUACCCCAAACCGACACAGGUGGUCAGGUAGAGAAUACUCAGGCGCUUGAGAGAACUCGGGUGAAGGAACUAGGCAAAAUGGUGCCGUAACUUCGGGAGAAGGCACGCUGGCGUUAGGUGAAGGGCCGUGCGCCCGGAGCUGAAGCCAGUCGCAGAGACCAGCUGGCUGCAACUGUUUAAUAAAAACACAGCACUGUGCCAACACGAAAGUGGACGUAUACGGUGUGACGCCUGCCCGGUGCUGGAAGGUUAAUUGAUGGGGUUAGCGGCAACGCGACGCUCCUGAUCGAAGCCCCAGUAAACGGCGGCCGUAACUAUAACGGUCCUAAGGUAGCGAAAUUCCUUGUCGGGUAAGUUCCGACCUGCACGAAUGGCGUAAUGAUGGCCAGGCUGUCUCCACCCGAGACUCAGUGAAAUUGAACUCGCUGUGAAGAUGCAGUGUACCCGCGGCAAGACGGAAAGACCCCGUGAACCUUUACUAUAGCUUGACACUGAACAUGGAGCCUUGAUGUGUAGGAUAGGUGGGAGGCUUUGAAGUGUGGACGCCAGUCUGCAUGGAGCCAUCCUUGAAAUACCACCCUUGAAUGUUUGAUGUUCUAACGUGGACCCGUUAUCCGGGUUGCGGACAGUGUCUGGUGGGUAGUUUGACUGGGGCGGUCUCCUCCCAAAGCGUAACGGAGGAGCACGAAGGUUGGCUAAUCACGGUCGGACAUCGUGAGGUUAGUGCAAAGGCAUAAGCCAGCUUGACUGCGAGCGUGACGGCGCGAGCAGGUACGAAAGUAGGUCUUAGUGAUCCGGUGGUUCUGUAUGGAAGGGCCAUCGCUCAACGGAUAAAAGGUACUCCGGGGAUAACAGGCUGAUACCGCCCAAGAGUUCAUAUCGACGGCGGUGUUUGGCACCUCGAUGUCGGCUCAUCACAUCCUGGGGCUGAAGUAGGUCCCAAGGGUACGGCUGUUCGCCGUUUAAAGUGGUACGCGAGCUGGGUUUAGAACGUCGUGAGACAGUUCGGUCCCUAUCUGCCGUGGGCGCUGGAAGAUUGAAAGGGGCUGCUCCUAGUACGAGAGGACCGGAGUGGACGCACCGCUGGUGUUCGGGUUGUCAUGCCAAUGGCAUUGCCCGGUAGCUACGUGCGGCAGAGAUAACCGCUGAAAGCAUCUAAGCGGGAAACUUGCCUUAAGAUGAGUCUUCCCUUGUCCCAGAGAGGACACAUAAGGAACGUUCGAGACGAGGACGUGGAUAGGCCGGGUGUGUAAGCGUAGCGAUACGUUGAGCUAACCGGUACUAAUGCUCCGAGAGGCUUAACCUG